CGUCACUCNNNNNNNNNNNNNNNNNNNNNNNNNCAUGAAUCAGAAAGGGUGUAGAUGAUACAGGCAAUAUUUAACAAGGUCAACCUAAUGGACAGUCACAGACUAUGGACAUACAGAGAACUGAUUUACCCUCCCUUUCUGCACAGAGAACAUAUUGAUGAAAUUGCUCCUAAGUAUAAGCUUAGUCUCACAAAGUUCAUACUACAGACUGGUUGUCAAUCAGAUUGCUGGUUAUGCUAUCUAAUAGAAAUAAUCAAAAAAAGAUAACAGGAAAAUCUUCAGCAUUUGAAAGUCAUGCACAACGUUGACAACCCACAGGCUAACGAGAAUUUUGGAGUCUCAAAUGUGGUGCUGCUUCCACAUACUUUAACACACUAAGAAAUGUAAACCAUGAGUAGAUCAAUUAUAUUUCAAAACAUUACUAAUACCUAAACUGGGUAUAUUUCAUGUGCAUGCGUACUUUACAGACAGUUAACUUAAAGUUGGAGAUGAAUACUCUCUAGUUCAGUUAUACGUCUAUGANAGUCGCUAUACAAUACAAUGUGUACUGUAUGGUGUUCAGCAGAACAUCACCGUGCUCUUCCAAACUGUCGCUGGGGAUACAAAGGGUUAAAGGAAGGGAAGAAAUCCAACUCUUCAUCUGCCGUCUGUGGAUAUGGGAAGAGGUGUGUCCCGGGCUAGCAUGCAACAAUGUCAACUCAAAAAGGAGCUUUGCUUUGACACAAGAACCAUCUGGACAUAGGAAACGAGAAAACUGCAGAAGAGUUCCCUUGAAUGAGGCCUCCCCAGUCAGCCCCUUUCUUCAGAGGGCAGUGGCUUGUCAUCUGGUCUGUGGGGACGCCAGCCACCUGGAACUGUGAUUACAAAGCAGGGAAGGGCACCAACAGCCAGGAGAACUGGAAUUUGCCUUCAGAAGCAGAUAACAAGUAGGAAGUGCUUACACAGGUUGUCAGGCUUGUGUGCACUGAGGUCACAGGCAACUCAAUUUCAGUUCAAGGAUGGCUGUGUUUUUUCACUGGAAACACAAGGCUCCACCAUCAAAUAAAACUUUUUACCAUGCUUGGAUAUGUGCAUUAGUCGCUAAGUUGAAAUAGGCAUGAGCGCCUCAGCUCAGUACAAAUAUUACAAACUGACCUCACAGAAUAGGGUCUACGUCACAAACCACUGUCAAGGUUGCAUGAUAACUCUGUAAUUGGAUUUUCAACUUCUGAAACGUCUUGGCAACAAACCUCAAAAUCAGAUUUCUGUAGAAAUCUUUUGCUUGAAUUAGGUUUUAUCUCCAACAAAGUUUGUCACAAAAUAAGUAUACUGAAAAGGUAGGUAGUUAUUUCAUAUCUAAUACAACCAAGCAACAACUGCUCAGAUAUACUAUCAAGGCAGUUAUUUCAACAGCAGCAGUAGGUUCCUGACAAAAGCUUCAUUUAUGUAUAAACAAUACACCUAGAUAGAUUCAGGACACUGCAUUUAUCUGGGCCCCAACUUCAACAGGCUAAAUGAAAUCAGGCACUUCCAAAUUCCUUAACACUUUUCUAAAUUACCUUCUAUAAACGCCCAUCUUUAAAAAAGUUUUCAUCAAGCCAGAUGUAGCUUAGCUAUUUCGAAAAUAAUUAUGGAAAAGACAUGUUGAUGUUUGUAAAGGUGACAUAAUCCAAACUCCGAGUUACAAGUCAAUCUGCUACCCACACAUCACAGGUCUAUCAGAGGUUAACCGACUGUGCAGGCUUUUCUCGGGGGCUACUUCAUUCCCAAGUUACUACUGAAACCUCACAAGAAAAGGGAAAUGGAGAAACUAAUUUUUUUUUCGUUUGGUUUUUUGCAGACUCAGAUAACAAAAAUGGACUGCUAAUUUCACAAACAGUAACAAAAAAUAAGCAAACCAAGGCUUCUGGUCAUUUACCAAGCAGGAACCAAAGUUCCACUAAGCAGUUGGGGCCUGGGCCUUUUAUAUUUUCUUUCUUUCUUUUUUUUCCUACCGGCAAACACGUAAUCUAAAAGCACAGUCAUUUCCCUCUUGAUACUUUAUUCGCUCCGAAAACGUCCCAUUCAAACCGAAAAAGCCAGCAAAAACAAAAGGAAAAAAUGAGAGCCUAGAAGGCAGUGGGCGCGGAGGAAGCGGGACUCCGGGAGGCUGCAGCGUCCUCCCCACCCGGCUCGGCUCCGCUCG
rnacentral:lncRNA from 1 species